UGUGAUAGAGAGAGAGGGGAGAGGGGGAGACGCGGUCAUUUAAAGUGGAGCUGCAGAAGCAGAUCUGGUGUUCAGCAAAUCGGCCAGAAGCGAGAACCGGUACACAGGAGCGAUCUACGUCUUGCUGAUACCAUGCACCGACUCGCAUAGGCGAUGCCCCAAUUUACAUUUGCCUGCUUCUGUGGACUCCAUGGCCUCUGCAAUUCUAAGGAAAAGAAGGAAAAGCAUGGAUCGGAACGGGAAACAUCUGUGUAGAAAUGGACUCAGGAUUAUGGUAUACUCAGCCUGGCCCCGCCGUGCACAGUGGGGCAACUGUAUCUCUUGGAAUCCAACGUGAUGCUCUUACCCCAAAAUUAUAAAGGGGGUAUGAGUUUGUCAAAUGCAGUCCAUUGAGAGAAAUACCUUUGUCCUGCAGACCAAUUGGAGGGUGCAAUGAAUGUCUAUUUUGCAUUCGCUACCUCUGGAAAAUGGGUCAAGCUACAAGUUAUAUCAUGAGCACAUGAUUUACAAAGCUCCACAAAAAGGAACACCACAAAUCUUGUUCAAAAUAGUGUUAUCAUAUUCUCUCAUCCUACUCAUUCAUGUAUUCAUGAGUGGCAAUGCAAGAUAUCCAAAAUGUUUUGCGUAGGAUACGGACUAUGCUAAACUUUCACUUAAAUACCUUAAAUACCUUUUAGUAUUUUUGGAUGAGGAGGUGGUUGAGAGCUUGGAGAAAUAAGAUUAUGUUGCUGCUUUUGUGAUUCAGUGGUCUGGGUUAAAGAUCUGAACAUGUCAGAAGGACUUGGAAAAUAUAUACUUGGGUAAUUAAAUAAAA